AGACAAACUAGUUAAUCGUCGCCUGCUGAAUUUUAACUACUCUCGCUGGGUAAUCCGAUCCUAGGAAGAAAGUCCGUUGAAUAAAUUUUGUCUGUCCUCACAAGACUCUUGUCAGUUUUCUCUUCUCAUUUGGUGCUGGCGUUUUGAUCAGAAACCUAGAAAUAUUUUCACUGAUAGUUUUCGCUAUUUUUCUGGACUUCAGUGUUUCUGGGAAUCGUUUUCUUUUUUCUUCUGUACCGCAAGAGUUUUGUGGAGAUUUCCGAACUUGUCUCUUUGAGUUGGAAAAGUAAUAGUGACUACUUCCGGUUCAGAUUCAGACUUGGAGAUGCUUACGAACUUCCUGUUCUGUACUUCUGAUCACAUGGUCAGGGGACAUUUUCCAAAAUACAGAAGUCGACUUUGACGUAGAAAGGAGUUCUCAAGAGCUCUUACCAUGUGACCAAAACCUGUUCGUAAGAGAUACAAAAAAAAUUUGUUUUCAAACAUACCGGAUGACUAAUGACGAUAUUUUAUAUAUAUUCUAUAUUCUAUUAUGAAAGUAAAUGGUAAAAUAAUGUUGCCUUUCAGAGAAAAUAUCCAGCCUAAAGGCAAAGUAACAAAUUACAAAUAACAAAAUAGAUUUUGCCUAUAAUGUUACAUUAUAAUGGGAAGUGUAGUAAAAAGAAGUAAUGAAUCAUUAAAAAUAAGAUUAUAAUAAAAUAAAAAUAUAAACUAAAUAAGAUUAUAACAUUUUCGUUGACUACAACAGGAAACAAGAUUAUGAAUGCUAACUGUGAUUCCGCGACGUCACGCCUUGGAUUAAGGAUAUAAUGGUUACCUGAGGAUUUAUAUGGUCACUCUAGGAUAAAGGAACUACCCAAAGAUCCCAGCAAUGGAAUGUGUCCACUCGAAGACUGCACACACACACUAAGAGGCUACAUUGAGAAUAUCUUUGGAGUGAGAGUAUAUGCCAGUUCAUCACAUUUGGACGAAAUAGGAAAACAAAGAAACAAAAAUUAAUUAGCGAUUUGAAAUGGAUUGAGACAGCUAUCAUUAGAACAUCAUGUAGUUGAAGCCAGUGGUCUAAAGGGACAGAAUACAUUCAUGGCCAUACAACAAACAACAAAACAGGACGUCAUCUUCAUAGCAAUCAGACAGUAUAUGACGUAUCAGACCUUGAGCUCCCGGCCUACACACCACAGCAAGACAUACUGAAACAGCUGAGAUAUAUUUUACGAAUUAUGCAAUAGAUACGGUCAGGUUAAAGACGUCGCAGAGAAUGAAAGACAACAAUUCUUUGAUUGAGCCUAUAUUUCACACAAGACAACCCUCUUUGAUUGAGCCCCUGUUUCACACAAGACAACCCUCUUUGAUUGAGCCUCUGUUCCAAUAAGACAACUUCCUGGUGAUGCCUUCGUUUUACACAAUACUCAUUCCGGAUGAAGCCUCAGUUUCACACAAGAACACUUCCUGAUGAAGUGUCUAUUUCACACAACUUCCGAGUGAAGCCUCAGUUUCACACAAGACAACACUUCCUGAUGAAGUGUCUAUUUCACACAACUUCCGAGUGAAGCCUCUGUUUCACACAAGACAACACUUCCUGAUGAAGUGUCUAU